GCCAGGUGCUGUGGUACAUACCUGUAGUCCCAGCAGCUUAGGAGGCUGAGACAGGAGGAUCAUGAGUUCAAGGUCAGCCCCAGCAACUUAGCAAGGCCCUGAGCAACUCAGUGAGACUCUGUCUCUA
rnacentral:sRNA from 1 species